CAUGCAGGUGGUUUGUUAAGUCAGAUGUGAAAGCCCUGGGCUCAACCUAGGAAUCGCAUUUGAAACUGACAAGCUAGAGUACUGUAGAGGGGGGUAGAAUUUCAGGUGUAGCGGUGAAAUGCGUAGAGAUCGAAGGAAUACCGGUGGCGAAGGCGGCCCCCUGGACAGAUACUGACACUCAGAUGCGAAAGCGUGGGGAGCAAACAGGAUUAGAUACCCUGGUAGUCCACGCUGUAAACGAUGUCUACUUGGAGGUUGUGCCCUAGAGGCGUGGCUUUCGGAGCUAACGCGUUAAGUAGACCGCCUGGGGAGUACGGUCGCAAGAUUAAAACUCAAAUGAAUUGACGGGGGCCCGCACAAGCGGUGGAGCAUGUGGUUUAAUUCGAUGCAACGCGAAGAACCUUACCUACUCUUGACAUCCAGAGAAUCUAGCGGAGACGCUGGAGUGCCUUCGGGAGCUCUGAGACAGGUGCUGC
rnacentral:rRNA from 1 species